GUGCUCCCUUAAGCAUAUAAAAUUUAGCACAUAUACUAAAAUUGGAACAAUACAGAGAAGAUUAGCAUGACCCCUGCUCAAGGAUGACACGCAAAUUCGUGAAGUGUUCCAUAUUAAA
ensembl:snRNA U6 U6 spliceosomal RNA